UACGGAGGGUGCGAGCGUUAAUCGGAAUUACUGGGCGUAAAGCGUACGUAGGCGGCUUAUUAAGCAAGAUGUGAAAGCCCCGGGCUCAACCUGGGAAUGGCAUUUUGAACUGGUAGGCUCGAGUUCUGAAGAGGGUGGUAGAAUUUCCUGUGUAGCGGUGAAAUGCGUAGAUAUAGGAAGGAAUACCGGUGGCGAAGGCGGCCACCUGGUCAGAGACUGACGCUGAGGUACGAAAGCGUGGGGAGCAAAC
rnacentral:rRNA from 1 species